CCUGCUCGUUUCCACUUUGGGGAGAAACGUAUUGACCGACGUCGAUGGUUUUCCAGUCUGCCACCAAGUCAGCCCAGCCCAGGAACCUACUGCUGUGUGCUGGACUUGCAGUGAGAAGGCAAAGUAUCAGCUCCCUUUGAAAAAGUAAAAAUCAGACUGGCCAUUCGUUACACUGGGAAAAGGAGAUCAGAACGCAGACACGUACAGAGGGAAGACUCUGUGAGCGUACAUGGAGAAGACAGCCAUUUGUAAGUCAAGGAGAAAAGCCUCAGAAGAAACCAGCCCUGAGGACAUUUUUACCUUGGACUUCUUCUAGCCACCAGAACUAUGGAAAAAUAAAUUUCUUUUGGUUAAGCCACUCA